rnacentral:piRNA from 1 species
UCCCCAGAACAGCCUUUUGGGAUGGCCCUC